CUCUUUAGGCUAAGUUUGACCUAAUAGAUGCUAUGUCCUAAAGCCAAACCCUUCCCUCCUGAAGAACGGAUUCACACUGAUCCAGGGAUUCCCAGGGGCCAAUCCAGCAGAAGGUCCUUUGUCCCUGUCUGUAAGCCGGAUCAGAAAAGCUGCCAGGACUUUUGAUGGAACAUGGGGAAGCAGUCACCUGGCAGGGUCUAUUCCAGGUGUCAGUGGUGGCAGAGGGAAGACAUAACUUUACAUCGUCACUGCCAGCUGUGGAAGACCCUUAGUCUUUUAGCUCCUUGUACUGGGACAAAAGACAAAGGCAAAGGCUAGCAGCUCACCUUUCUGAUGGGCUUUCUCAGCAAGACCUGAUCAGGACAGUCAUGGGCCAGUCAACCAUCCUAUCUCUCUUCAAACUGACUAACCCUAAAUCAGGGAAGGAAAACUCUUCAGAGACCUAAAACUUAGCUCUUAAGAAAUGACUGGUAACUUUGGAUUCCUGAGUCCUCCAUCUGCCUUACAGGAGGUCAUUUUCUCAGUCUGUCUGCUGCAUGUGUAUGUCUCCUCUCCCCCAAUAAACACUUCUC